GAUGAACGCUAGCGGCAGGCUUAACACAUGCAAGUCGAGGGGUAGAAGUUGCUUGCAACUUUGAGACCGGCGCACGGGUGCGUAACGCGUAUGCAAUCUACCUUAUACAGAGGGAUAACCCAGAGAAAUUUGGAUUAAUACCUCAUAGUAUAAUUGAAUGGCAUCAUUUAAUUAUUAAAGUUCCAACGGUAUAAGAUGAGCAUGCGUCCUAUUAGCUAGAUGGUAAGGUAACGGCUUACCAUGGCAACGAUAGGUAGGGGUCCUGAGAGGGAGAUCCCCCACACUGGUACUGAGACACGGACCAGACUCCUACGGGAGGCAGCAGUGAGGAAUAUUGGACAAUGGGCGCAAGCCUGAUCCAGCCAUGCCGCGUGCAGGAAGAAGCAUCUAUGGUGUGUAAACUGCUUUUGUACGGGAAGAAACACCCCUUCGUGAAGGGACUUGACGGUACCGUAAGAAUAAGGAUCGGCUAACUCCGUGCCAGCAGCCGCCGUAAGAC
rnacentral:rRNA from 1 species